rnacentral:lncRNA from 1 species
GAUAAUUGUAAGCAGCAAGAAUGUUUAGUAAAGUAAGAUCUACAAACACAUCACCAUCACCAAAACACAAUUUUGUCAUGAAUCCAUCUGUGUCCAUUGUUUAAUAUUCACAUAGACCAAGGUGAGCGACACAGGCUCUUUAGAGCCUCUAGUUAACCAUUUUUCGUAAAUCUUAGUUAUCUUUUACAAAAAUCUUCUCCUCUGAAACUACUGGGCCAAAUUUAACCAAACAUGGCCAAAAUCAUUAUUAGGGUAUCUAGUUUAAAAAUUGUGUCCGGUGACCUGGCUAACCAACCAAGAUGGCCGCCAUGGCUAAAAAUAGAACAUAGGGGUAAAAUGCAGUUUUUAGCUUAUAACUCACAAACCAAAGCAAUUAGAGCAAAUCUGACAUGGGGGUAAAAUUGUUUAUCAGGUCAAGAUCUAUCUGCCCUGAAAUUUUCAGAUGAAUCGGACAACCCGUUGUUGGGUUGCCGCCCCUGAAUUGGUAAUUUUAAGGAAAUUUUGCUGUUUUUGGUUAUUAUCUUGAAUAUUAUUAUAGAUGUAGAUAAACUGUAAACAGCAAUAAUGUAAUGCUUGGGGUAUACAAUGUUUUUUAUACUUUCAUCAUAAAUUAUAUUAUGAACACGAGAC